ACUAUACAUGCAAGUCGAGCGAGCCGAACUAAUUGAUUACCUUCGGGUAUGAAGUUAGGGAAGCGAGCGGCGGAUGGGUGAGUAACACGUGGGUAACCUACCCUAUAGUCUGGGAUACCACUUGGAAACAGGUGCUAAUACCGGAUAAAAGGAGAGAUCACAUGAUUUCUUUUUGAAAGGCGGCGUAAGCUGUCGCUAAAGGAUGGACCCGCGGUGCAUUAGCUAGUUGGUAAGGUAACGGCUUACCAAGGCAACGGUGCAUAGCCGAGUUGAGAGACUGAUCGGCCACAUUGGGACUGAGACACGGCCCAAACUCCUACGGGAGGCAGCAGUAGGGAAUCUUCCACAAUGGACGCAAGUCUGAUGGAGCAACGCCGCGUGAGUGAAGAAGGUUUUCGGAUCGCAAAGCUCUGUUGUUGGUGAAGAAAGAUAGUGAGAGUAACUGCUCAUUAUUUGCCGGUAAUCAACCAGAAAGUCACGGCUAACUACGUGCCAGCAGCCGCGGUAAUACGUAGGUGGCAAGCGUUGUCCGGAUUUAUUGGGCGUAAAGCGAGCGCAGGCGGAAAGAUAAGUCAGAUGUGAAAGCCCUCGGCUUAACCGAGGAAUAGCAUCGGAAACUGUCUUUCUUGAGUGCAGAAGAGGAGAGUGGAACUCCAUGUGUAGCGGUGGAAUGCGUAGAUAUAUGGAAGAACACCAGUGGCGAAGGCGGCUCUCUGGUCUGUAACUGACGCUGAGGCUCG
rnacentral:rRNA from 1 species